UACGGGGGGGGCAAGCGUUGUUCGGAAUUACUGGGCGUAAAGGGCUUGUAGGUGGCCAACUAAGUCAGACGUGAAAUCCCUCGGCUUAACCGGGGGAACUGCGUCUGAUACUGGAUGGCUAGAGUGUGGGAGAGGGAUGCGGAAUUCCAGGUGUAGCGGUGAAAUGCGUAGAUAUCUGGAGGAACACCGGUGGCGAAGGCGGCAUCCUGGACCACGACUGACACUGAAAAGCGAAAGCCAGGGGAGCAAACGGG
rnacentral:rRNA from 1 species